rnacentral:rRNA from 1 species
AAUGGGCGAAAGCCUGAUGCAGCAACGCCGCGUGAGGGACGAAGGCCUUCGGGUCGUAAACCUCUUUUCUGAGGGAAGAGACAGGACGGUACCUCGGGAAUAAGUCUCGGCUAACUACGUGCCAGCAGCCGCGGUAAAACGUAGGAGGCGAGCGUUAUCCGGAUUUACUGGGCGUAAAGCGCACGCAGGCGGCUUCGUGAGUCGGAUGUGAAAGCUCCCGGCUUAACUGGGAGAGGCCAUUCGAUACUGCGGGGCUUGAGGUUGGGAGAGGGGUGCGGAAUUCCCGGUGUAGUGGUGGAAUGCGUAGAUAUCGGGAGGAACACCUGUGGCGAAAGCGGCACCCUGGCCCACACCUGACGCUGAGGUGCGAAAGCGUGGGUAGCAAA